rnacentral:rRNA from 1 species
GGAGUGAUAUGUUUGGUUUAUUCCGAUAACGAACGAGACUCUUUUAUGCUAAAUAGGUUGCCGUCUUCUCUGCGGUAAACAUUCUUAUUAGAGAGACAGGCGGCGUCUAGCCGCACGAGAUUGAGCAAUACCAGGUCUGUGAUGCCCUGAGAUGUUCUGGGCUGCACACGCGCUACAUUGAAUGGAUCAGCGUGUUUUCCCUUCCCGAGAGGGACGGGUAACCCGCUGAACCCCGUUCGUUGUAGGGAUCGGAGCUUGCAAUUAUUAUCCGUGAACCAGGAAUUCCCAGUAAGCGCAAGUCAUAAGCUUGCGUCGAUUACGUCCCUGCCCUUCGUACACACCGCCCGUCGAUACUACCGAUUGAACGUUUUAGUGAGAAAUCNGGAUUCGACCUCCGNGGGUUCAUUCCCACAGUGCUGUNGGAGAAGUUUNUCAAACCUGAGCGUUCAGAGGAAGUAAAAGUCGUAACAAGGUUUCCGUAGGUG